rnacentral:rRNA from 1 species
AUUGAACGCUGGCGGCAUGCCUUACACAUGCAAGUCGAACGGCAGCAUGGAGAGCUUGCUCUCUGAUGGCGAGUGGCGAACGGGUGAGUAAAGCAUCGGAACGUACCGUGUAGUGGGGGAUAACGUAGCGAAAGUUACGCUAAUACCGCAUACGCACUGAGGUGGAAAGCAGGGGAUCGUAAGACCUUGCGCUAUACGAGCGGCCGAUGUCAGAUUAGCUCGUUGGUAGGGUAAAGGCCUACCAAGGCGACGAUCUGUAGCGGGUCUGAGAGGAUGACCCGCCACACUGGGACUGAGACCCGGCGCAGACUCCUACGUGAGGCAGCAGUGGGGAAUUUUGGACAAUGGGGGCAACCCUGAUCCAGCCAUGCCGCGUGAGUGAAGAAGGCCUUCGGGUUGUAAAGCUCUUUCGGCCGGGAAGAAAUCGCACAGGCUAAUACCCUGUGUGGAUGACGGUACCGGCAUAAGAAGCACCGGCUAACUACGUGCCAGCCGCCGCGGUAA